rnacentral:rRNA from 1 species
CCCUUAGAUGUUCUGGGCCGCACGCGUGCUACACUGAACGGUUCAAUGGGUAAGGUAGUGCGAAAGCAUGACCUAAUCUCGAAAUCCGUUCGUGCUGGGGAUAGAAGCUUGCAAUUAUCCUUCUUGAACGAGGAAUACCUUGUAAGCGUGAGUCAUCAUCUCACGCUGAAUACGUCCCUGCCCUUUGUACACACCGCCCGUCGCUCCUACCGAUUGAGUGUUCCGGUGAGGCUUUGGGAGAAUGGCCUCAACAUGAGUUUAUCGUGUUUUGCCGUUUGACCUUAGUCAAACCUUAUCACUUAGAGGAAGGAGAAGUCGUAACA